rnacentral:rRNA from 1 species
GACGGAGGGGGCAAGCGUUAUCCGGAAUGAUUGGGCGUAAAGCGUCCGCAGGUGGCAGUUCAAGUCUGCUGUCAAAGACCGGGGCUUAACUUCGGAAAGGCAGUGGAAACUGAACAGCUAGAGUAUGGUAGGGGCAGAGGGAAUUCCUGGUGUAGCGGUGAAAUGCGUAGAGAUCAGGAAGAACAUCGGUGGCGAAGGCGCUCUGCUGGACCAUAACUGACACUCAGGGACGAAAGCUAGGGGAGCGAAUGGG